GACGAACGCUGGCGGCGUGCUUAACACAUGCGAGUCGAACGGAAAGGCCCUGCUUUUGUGGGGUGCUCGAGUGGCGAACGGGUGAGUAACACGUGAGUAACCUGCCCUUGACUUUGGGAUAACUUCAGGAAACUGGGGCUAAUACCGGAUAGGAGCUCCUGCUGCAUGGUGGGGGUUGGAAAGUUUCGGCGGUUGGGGAUGGACUCGCGGCUUAUCAGCUUGUUGGUGGGGUAGUGGCUUACCAAGGCUUUGACGGGUAGCCGGCCUGAGAGGGUGACCGGCCACAUUGGGACUGAGAUACGGCACAGACUCCUACGGGAGGCAGCAGUGGGGAAUAUUGCACAAUGGGCGGAAGCCUGAUGCAGCAACGCCGCGUGCGGGAUGACGGCCUUCGGGUUGUAAACCGCUUUCGCCUGUGACGAAGCGUGAGUGACGGUAAUGGGUAAAGAAGCACCGGCUAACUACGUG
rnacentral:rRNA from 1 species